rnacentral:lncRNA from 1 species
GUCUCAUUUUAUCUGUAGCUGAACUUUCAGGAAGAUAAGCAGCCCAGACUUGAGUUUCUAGAUGUAUACAACCAGGUGCAUGUCCAAGGCACAGAGGGUGGUAUUUAUAACCCAUAGUAACAUUAAAUGCAGUGUCUUAUUCUCCUGGUUGGGCAGGGCAACAGUUAUCUGUGGCUCCAGGCAUCCACACACUAUUGUUAGUGUAGAUUUCUGCAGAAGCAUCUAUCCAGGUGAGAGGUUGAAUAAGUGGAGGAAAAGGCACAUAAGCCCAAUAAGAAUAUUUAUGUGUAGCAGGUAAAUCAGUGUGAGAGGAAACUGGUGAGACAGAAAGUAUAAGGAGGAGAAUCAUUAAAUAAAACUUAUUGUAAGUGAGAUUCUGAAGAAGGAAGAGAAGAACAGUGUUAAGUAUCCUGGCAAAGGAGCAUUAGGGUUACAGAUAGAAUUGAAGUUGCUCGUCAGCUGAUUGAAGAUAAGGAGAUUGGCCUGGAUUAUCCAGGUAGGCUCAAUGUAAUCAGGAAGGGCCUUUAAAGUGAGAGAGGGAGGCAGAAGAGGAAGUCAGAGCGAUGUGCUGUGAAAUCUACUACCGUUUGCUGGUUUUGAAAAUGGAGAAAAAGAGUGAGGAACUGAGAAACAUGGAUGGCCUUGGGAACGUGGAAAAGGGUCACUGAAAUGGGACGACAUGAACUCAAGGAGGCUAUUUAUGACCAUGUCAUUUGCAACAUGAAGAAAGCUUAUCUGGAGUGAAAGUAAAUGAGACCAACAGAGAUGAGAGACCCGGAGAAAUCCUGGUUACACUGCUUGAAUCCUGUCAGUCCUAUACUGGAGUCCUGUUAAUACAAAAUAAUAGUAAUAAUCCCUCUGUUUCUUAUGUUUAUGCCAACUUCAACAAAAAGAAACUUGACUAAGAGACAAUAUAAGAAUUUAAUGUGUAAUUAAGAAAGAACUCUCCACCACGGGGAAUGUGAAAGGGUGGACCAAGUUUACAUUUCUCUGCAGUCAGAUUACCAUUGUACCAACAACUAUUCUAAGGUCCCAGUGAAAUAAUUUGGACAUUUCCAAAAGAGAUAAGAUGUGAAGACAUGUACAAUAAUAGCUGAUGCCUAAUAUAACCUCAUCUGUGUUUCUCAAACUAAAACACAUACUAACAAAAGGCCACAUGAGGACACAGUGAGAAGCUGGAAGUCUACAACCCAGAAGAGAGCCCUCAACAGAACCUAACCAUGCUGGUACCCUGAUCUCAGACAUCCAGCCUCCAGAAGAGUGAAAAAAUAUAAUUCUUAUUUCUAAGCAACCUGGUCUAUGGUAUUUCAUUAUGGCAGCCCAAGCUAAGACAGAUCCCUAUCCUAUUCACCAUGCUGCAGAGCCACAUGAGCCUCCCUUUUGUUCCUCAAGCUCAUCAAAUACCUCCUAGCCUUAGAACUUGCUAUUCCCUCUAACCAGAAUUCUCUUCCAGGUCUUUCCAUCCUGUAAGUCUUGUCCUUUAGAUCGAAAUUCACAUGUGACCUCCCCUGAGAAUGGUCCUCUGAAAACCUAUCUCAAAGAGUGUUCCCAGUUACUCUCUACCUUACCCCCAGGUUAUUAUCUUCCCACCACUUUUCCAUAUUUGUAAUCAUUUGCUUUUGUAUAUGUGUGAUAUGGUUAGGCUUAGUGUCCCUACCCAAAUCUCGUGUUAAAUUGUAAUCCCCAGGGAGAUUACAAUUUAGGGAGAGACCUGGUGGGAAGUGAUUGGAUUAUGGGGGUGGGUUCCCCCAUGCUGUUCUCGUGAUAGUGAGUGAAUUCUCAUAAGAUCUAAUGGUUUUGUAAAUGGUAGUUUUUCCUGUGCUGACUCAUUCUCUCUCCUGCUGCCUUGUGAAGAGGUGCCUUCUGUCAUGACUGUAAGUUUCCUGAAGCUUCCCCAACCAUGGGGAACUGUGAGUCAAUUAAACCUCUUUGCUUUAUAAAUUACCCAGUCUCAGGUAUUUCUUCAUAGCAGUGUAAGAAUGGACUAAUACAAUGUGUAGUUAUUUAUUUAAUAUUUGUCACCACCCCCCAAGCACAUUCACACAAUCAGCCCCUUCAGAUCAGAGAUC